UAAGAGGUCCUGCCUGCCCAGUGACCACGUGUUCAACGGCCGCGGUAUUUUAACCGUGCAAAGGUAGCGCAAUCACUUGUCCUUUAAAUGGGGACCUGUAUGAAUGGCACGACGAGGGCUUGACUGUCUCCUCUCUCCAGUCAAUGAAAUUGAUCUCCCCGUGCAGAAGCGGGGAUAAAACCAUAAGACGAGAAGACCCUAUGAAGCUUUAGACGCCAUGACAGAUUAUGUUAAACAACCCUUUUAAAGGAAUAAACCUAGUAACCCCUGUCCAAAUGUCUUUGGUUGGGGCGACCGCGGGGAAAUAAAUAACCCCCAUGUGGGACUGAGAGAACUAACUCUCUUACAACCCAGAGCUACAGCUCUAAGUAACAAAAUUUUUGACCUAAAGGAUCCGGCAAUGCCGAUCAACGAACCGAGUUACUCUAGGGAUAACAGCGCAAUCCCCUUUUAGAGUCCCUAUCGACAAGGGGGUUUACGACCUCGAUGUUGGAUCAGGACAUCCUAAUGGUGCAGCCGCUAUUAAGGGUUCGUUUGUUCAACG
rnacentral:rRNA from 1 species